AAUUUUGUUUCCGUCAAUGUUUUGAGAAAAACAAUUUUGUGCAUGCAUGAACUAAACUUUUUCUAUGGAGCUUAUUCUUUGUUACUUAAUUUAAGUAAUUGCGGCUUUGGUCUGUAAAUGGAAUUUCUGAGAACGACGUGAAUUGGAGGUUCGGUUUGAUUCGUCUGAUAAGCAUGGGUUUGAGGUUUGAGCUGCUGAUCUUGAGAUUGUGGUCAUCCCCCUUUUUGUACAUUUUUCCGGCCUCUAUGACAAUUUUCAGUCGUUGGAAUGGAGCCUACAACCUGUCAUUGCUUAAUAAUUAGAAUUCAAUAAUUAACCAUUGGGUGUUAGCUUGAAUAGUCCAAAUUUCAGCUGUAUUGUUACUUGUACCAAUGGGACAUUCGAAAGCUUAUAUCCAGUGACAACUUGAUUUUUUCUGUGAUAUUUUUGUGAGAUGAUUAAAUGAUUAACUCUUUUCAAACUAGUAUUGAUUCUAAGAACAAUAUUGAACUUCUUUGUACUGCUAUUGGAAAAGGUUUUGGCAUCCAAGUAGUGUUGAGGGAGUAGUUGAUAUGAUUGAGUGGGUGAUAUUGAGAGUUAAAUUCAGUUUUUUUUUUUUUAGUACUUGAAUCUAUUAGUAUUUUGUAUAAAUACUUUUAAGGAUGGUUGAUGGAUAUUUGUUUUGUGUGUAUAGAAGUUUAUAUUUUGUAUGCA